UACGUAGGGUGCAAGCGUUGUCCGGAAUUAUUGGGCGUAAAGAGCUCGUAGGCGGUCUGUCACGUCGGAUGUGAAACCUCGGGGCUCAACCCCGAGCCUGCAUUCGAUACGGGCAGACUAGAAUUCGGUAGGGGAGACUGGAAUUCCUGGUGUAGCGGUGAAAUGCGCAGAUAUCGAGAGGAACACCUGCGGCGAAGGCGGGUGCUGGGCUGACACUGACGCUGAGGCGCGAAAGCUAGGGGAGCGAACGGG
rnacentral:rRNA from 1 species